AUUGAACGCUGGCGGCAGGCCUAACACAUGCAAGUCGAACGAGUGGCGGACGGGUGAGUAAUGUCUGGGAAACUGCCCGAUGGAGGGGGAUAACUACUGGAAACGGUAGCUAAUACCGCAUACCAUCAGAUGUGCCCAGAAGGGAUUAGCUAGUAGGUGGGGUAAUGGCUCACCCAGGCGACGAUCCCUAGCUGGUCUGAGAGGAUGACCAGCCACACUGGAACUGAGAAACGGUCCAGACUCCUACGGUGGGCAGCAGUGGGGAAUAUUGCACAAUAGGCGCAAGCCUGAUGCAGCCAUGCAGAGUGUGUGGAGAAGGCCUUCGGGUUGUAGAGCACUUGCAGCGAGGAGGCGUUACUCACAGAAGAAGCACCGGCUAACUCCGUGACAGCAGCCGCGGUAAUGC
rnacentral:rRNA from 1 species